rnacentral:rRNA from 1 species
GAUGAACGCUGGCGGCGUGCCUAAUACAUGCAAGUCGAGCGAACAGACGAGGAGCUUGCUCCUCUGACGUUAGCGGCGGACGGGUGAGUAACACGUGGAUAACCUACCUAUAAGACUGGGAUAACUUCGGGAAACCGGAGCUAAUACCGGAUAAUAUAUUGAACCGCAUGGUUCAAUAGUGAAAGACGGUUUUGCUGUCACUUAUAGAUGGAUCCGCGCCGCAUUAGCUAGUUGGUAAGGUAACGGCUUACCAAGGCAACGAUGCGUAGCCGACCUGAGAGGGUGAUCGGCCACACGGGAACUGAGACACGGUCCAGACUCCUACGGGAGGCAGCAGUAGGGAAUCUUCCGCAAUGGGCGAAAGCCUGACGGAGCAACGCCGCGUGAGUGAUGAAGGGCUUCGGAUCGUAAAAUUCUGUUAUUAGGGAAGAACAAAUGUGUAAGUAACUAUGCACGUCUGGACGGUACCUAAUCAGAAAGCCACGGCUAACUACGU